GCUCAACCGAGGAAGUGCUUCGAGAACUGGUAAACUUGAGUGCAGAAGAGGAAAGUGGAACUCCAUGUGUAGCGGUGGAAUGCGUAGAUAUAUGGAAGAACACCAGUGGCGAAGGCGGCUUUCUGGUCUGUAACUGACGCUGAGAUUCGAAAGCAUGGGUAGCAAACAGGAUUAGAUACCCUGGUAGUCCAUGCCGUAAACGAUGAGUGCUAAGUGUUGGAGGGUUUCCGCCCUUCAGUGCUGCAGCUAACGCAUUAAGCACUCCGCCGGGGGAGUACGACCGCAAGGUUGAAACUCAAAGGAAUUGACGGGGGCCCGCACAAGCGGUGGAGCAUGUGGUUUAAUUCGAAGCUACGCGAAGAACCUUACCAGGUCUUGACAUACUAUGAAAAUCUAAGAGAUUAGACGUUCCCUUCGGGGACAUGGAUACAGGUGGUGCAUGGUUGUCGUCAGCUCGUGUCGUGAGAUGUUGGGUUAAGUCCCGCAACGAGCGCAACCCUUAUUAUCAGUUGCCAGCAUUAAGUUGGGCACUCUGGUGAGACUGCCGGUGACAAACCGGAGGAAGGUGGGGAUGACGUCAAAUCAUCAUGCCCCUUAUGACCUGGGCUACACACGUGCUACAAUGGAUGGUACAACG
rnacentral:rRNA from 1 species